rnacentral:rRNA from 1 species
AAGGAGUUUUCGGACAACGGAUUCGGUUACUUAGUGGCGGACUGGUGAGUAACGCGUGAGGAACCUGCCCUUGAGUGGGGGACAACGGUUGGAAACGACUGCUAAUACCGCAUGAUGUAUUGUCGGGACAUCCCGACGAUACCAAAGAUUUAUCGCUCAAGGAUGGCCUCGCGUCUGAUUAGCUUGUUGGUGGGGUAACGGCUCACCAAGGCGACGAUCAGUAGCCGGACUGAGAGGUUGACCGGCCACAUUGGGACUGAGAUACGGCCCAGACUCCUACGGGAGGCAGCAGUGGGGAAUAUUGGGCAAUGGACGCAAGUCUGACCCAGCAACGCCGCGUGAAGGAAGAAGGCUUUCGGGUUGUAAACUUCUUUUAAGGGGGAAGAGCAGAAGACGGUACCCCUUGAAU